GACGAACGCUGGCGGCGUGCUUAACACAUGCAAGUCGAACGGAAAGGCCCUGCUUGCAGGGUGCUCGAGUGGCGAACGGGUGAGUAACACGUGGGUGAUCUGCCCCUUACUUUGUGAUAAGCCUGUGAAACUGGGUCUAAUACUGGAUAGGACCAUGCUGUAGGUGGUGUGGUGGAAAGAUUAGUUUCGGUAAGGGAUGAGCUCGCGGCCUAUCAGCUUGUUGGUGUGGUAAUGGCCUACCAAGGCGUCGACGGGUAGCCGGCCUGAGAGGGUGGACGGCCACAUUGGGACUGAGAUACGGCCCAGACUCCUACGGGAGGCAGCAGUGGGGAAUAUUGCACAAUGAGCGCAAGCAGGAUGCAGCGACGCCGCGUGGGGGAUGACGGCCUUCGGGUUGUAAACUCCUUUCAGCCAUGACGAAGCCCUUGUGGUGACGGUAGUGGUAGAAGAAGCACCGGCUAACUACGUG
rnacentral:rRNA from 1 species